UGACUUCGCUCUCGCUGCCUGAUUCAGCCUGAGCAGUCUGGAACCCCGGGUUUGCUCCUGACCCGGAUCGUUCCAUCAUCUAAGGAGCCACUGCUGCCGACCCUGGUCACCGGGGAAGGAUGAACACCUCAGAGUGACUGAGUCCGUCGACGACGUGUCCGUACGAGCGUCGGGACUGAGAAAACGUCAUUACGGACUGCGCCCGGAGAAGCCCUGGCUCCGCACUAUCGGACGCGGGUUCGAUUCCCGCCGGCUCCACUG
rnacentral:tmRNA from 1 species